rnacentral:rRNA from 1 species
CCUACGGGUGUCAGCAGUGAGGAAUAUUGGUCAAUGGCCGGAAGGCUGAACCAGCCAAGCCGCGUGAAGGACGAAGGUGCCAAGCAUUGUAAACUUCUUUUGUCAAGGGACAAAAUCAGGCUCGAGAGCCUGACCGAGGGUACUUGCAGAAAAAGCAUCGGCUAACUCCGUGCCAGCAGCCGCGGUAAUACGGAGGAUGCGAGCGUUAUCCGGUUUUAUUGGGUUUAAAGGGUGCGUAGGCGGACGGUUAAGUCCACGGUAAAAGCCCGGGGCUCACCCCCGGAGAGCCGUUGAAACUGUGCAGCUAGAGUGCAGGAGAGGUAAGUGGAAUUCCUAGUGUCGCGGUGAAAUGCGUAGAUAUUAGGAGGAACACCAGUGGCGAAGGCGGCUUACUGGACUGUAACUGACGUUGAGGCUCGAAAGCGUGGGGAGCAAACAGGAUUAGAUACCCGUGUAGUC